rnacentral:rRNA from 1 species
UACAUGGGGUGCAACCGUUGCUCGGAAUUAUUGGGCGUAAAGCGCACGUAGGCGGUUCGUUAAGUCGGAUGUGAAAGCCCUCGGCUCAACUGAGGAAGUGCACCCGAAACUGGCGAGCUUGAGUACGAAAGAGGAUCGCGGAAUUCACGGUGUAGAGGUGAAAUGCGUAGAGAUCGGGAGGAACACCAGUGGCGAAGGCGGCCGGCUGGGGGUGACCUGACGCUGAGGCGCGAAAGCGUGGGUAGCAAACAGG